UUUACCAAAAACAUCACCUCUAGCAUAAAAAGUAUUAGAGGCACUGCCUGCCCGGUGACUUUAGUUUAACGGCCGCGGUAUUCUGACCGUGCAAAGGUAGCAUAAUCACUUGUUCCCUAAAUAGGGACUUGUAUGAAUGGCCCCACGAGGGUUUUACUGUCUCUUACUUUAAAUCAGUGAAAUUGACAUUCUCGUGAAGAGGCGAGGAUUAAAAAAUAAGACGAGAAGACCCUAUGGAGCUUUAAUUAAUUAACCUAUGAGUUACAAAAUUAUUCUACUAGAAAUAAACAAAUCUCAAUUAGGCUGACAAUUUAGGUUGGGGUGACCUCGGAAUAAAAACCAACUCCCGAGAGAGUUUUAUUGAGACCUACCAGUCAAAGUUAUUCCACUAUAUAUUGAUCCGCCAUUUGGCGACCAACGGAAUAAGUUACCCUAGGGAUAACAGCGCAAUCCUAUUUAAGAGUCCAUAUCGACAAUUAGGGUUUACGACCUCGAUGUUGGAUCAGGACAUCCCAAUGGUGCAGCAGCUAU
rnacentral:rRNA from 1 species